GCAAGUCCUGGUUCCCGUGGGAGGGUGUCAAGACAGCCCUUAAUACAGAAUCUUAAUUUCAGGCCUUAUGCCACAAGAGUGUACAACAAAGUGAUUCUUACCUUAUGUAAAGCCUUCUGUGAGGCUUGCUUCUUGCCUGGCAUCUGAAGAUCCCGCUUCCUUGCCCCGGUGGGUGCAGAACCUCCAGACCCAUGACCACUGGCCGGAGGGCGCCCUUUUUCGCCUCCUGUACUUCCUCCUCAAGGUCAACGCAAAGGAUGAGGGAGUGAGCGGCCCCUGGGAUGAUGCUUCUCUGCGCAGAGGUACCUGUGGGGCAUGAUGUCAGGACCCCGUGUCCCUGGGGGGCUGGGGCUUUGCUGGGAGGCAGCCUGUGUCUCAGGAAUACACUGGAUUGCCAAAAGGUAUCUGUCAGCUCCUCCGCCCCUCGUUUCGCACCUGUGAGGAGCCCGGAGCAGGGCUUCAUUUAUGGAGCUGCUAAUUAUCUCACGUGUGUUGUGAGAAAGGGGAAGAGGGAAUGUGGCCUGAACCAGGCACAUGGGCUUUCGGCCUUCUUGGGGCUCAAGUCCUGCUGAAAGACCGACGUGAAGCAAGUCAGUGUAGUGUUGAUGGGGGAGAAGUUCCGGUUCCCCCUCUUGAAGAGUUACAUUCCACUAGGGGUUGUCAGGGUCCCCACUGUGCCCCUGAGAUAGGGCCAAUCAGGUGUGUGUGUGUAGGGGGAAUGGCCUUCCUUUUGGGUGGGUGGUGGGCAUUAAGUGACUGGAAAGCAUGAUCAAUAGGACUGACAGGAUGUGUGAGGGGCUCACCACCUGGUUGGAAAAGACAUGAAGGAAAUAAUGACCCGUGAAAUUCAUCAUUACUGUUUUGCAUUGAGUGCUGAGAAAUACAGUGUGCGUUAGAGUUUGUCCUUUACUGGGUAGUGUUUAAGCUGAGACCAGAAAGCUAAGAAAUAAAGGCGGAUGUGGGAAGGUGUUCAGUUAGAGCAGGGAAGGAUGUGUACUGUUACAGGAACUGAGAGAAUGUCCUUGAAGCUGGGGCCACGUGGGGACUGUAGGGUGGGGAAAACCAAGGUUUGGGGUGAAGACUUGGACUUUUUGUAGGUUCUUGGAGACUAAUCAUAGUGAUUUAAAACAUGAUGUCCAGACCCAAGCUGAUCCUAGCUCUGCCUCUUACGAGCCGUGUUACUAAACCAUUGUAGGUCUCAGUUUCCUGAUGGGAGAAAUGGGGGUUAUAAUAAUCCCACUUCAUAGAUGAUUGUAAAGAUGAAGUGAUAUUUAACGUUAAUAAAACACUCAGAGCCAUGUCUGACAUGUAGUAGGUGUCGGUGGUUGAUUCAAGAAAUAAAUAGGGGCGCCUGGGGGGCUCAGUGGGUUAAAGCCUCUGCCUU